UNCUCUUGNNUCNNCAGAAUUCGNNNGAGAUNNCUUAGUGCCUUCGGGAACUGUGAGACAGGUGCUGCAUGGCUGUCGUCAGCUCGUGUUGUGAAAUGUUGGGUUAAGUCCCGCAACGAGCGCAACCCUUAUCCUUUGUUGCCAGCGCGUCAUGGCGGGAACUCAAAGGAGACUGCCGGUGAUAAACCGGAGGAAGGUGGGGAUGACGUCAAGUCAUCAUGGCCCUUACGAGUAGGGCUACACACGUGCUACAAUGGCGUAUACAAAGAGAAGCGAACUCGCGAGAGCCAGCGGACCUCAUAAAGUACGUCGUAGUCCGGAUCGGAGUCUGCAACUCGACUCCGUGAAGUCGGAAUCGCUAGUAAUCGUAGAUCAGAAUGCUACGGUGAAUACGUUCCCGGG
rnacentral:rRNA from 1 species